rnacentral:rRNA from 1 species
AAAUGCGUAGAUAUUAGGAGGAACACCAGUUGCGAAGGCGGCUCUCUGGACUGUAACUGACGCUGAGGCACGAAAGCGUGGGGAGCAAACAGGAUUAGAUCCCCUGGUAGUCCACGCUGUAAACGAUGAGUACUAGGUGUCGGGGGUUACCCCCUUCGGUGCCGCAGCUAACGCAUUAAGUACUCCGCCUGGGAAGUACGC